UAUUCUAAGUUUAAGAAGUUUAUGAAAUGUUCGUUAAAUAACACGGAAUAGCUGUCUCAUCAAAGUUUAUACCCAGUAUAGGGUUGAUAGUGUUCUCACACUCCAUCCUUUCCAUCGAAACAGCAUGCGCAUGAAGAAGCAUGCGCAUUUUACAUGUAUGGGAGGGAGAGAGUGAAACCUGCGAUCCACUGCGAUGGAAACCCUUCGACUUCCCAUGCAGUCUUCCUCGUGCAGUAUAGGUGAUAUACUGGUGACAGGUGGUAUUUUACAGUAACGUAUUGGUGAUGAAAACGAGGCGUAUUUAUUUGGCUUAUGUAUCUCUCAUGUUGCGUUUAGUAUUUCGCAAGUAACAUUCAUUUGUAUUAGAAGAAGAAUGUGAUUAACGUUACAUUACAAUAAUAUUAUAAGAAUUGAUAAUCUUUAUAUUAUUAGAAAUAUCAUUACGCAGAAUGAGAUAUAUGGAGAAAAAUAACGAUCUCCGUAGUUUUAAUUACCGUAUAGUGUUAUAACUUUCUCCGUACUUUUACCUUAUGGUGGAGAUAAGCGAAAAGCGUUGAUGUGCAUCACUGAAAAUGAGUCACACAGAGAAGACUGACUGAUUCUCCAUUUGGCCGCACAAGUGAAAUAUCAGUAAUCCGAGCAAGUUAUCUAUGCCGGUGUAAGAUGCACCAGCUGUCACAAGCAGGAGACCCUGCGCCACAUAUGUGAGCUCGAAGUACGGGCUUUGGUCCUUGUCGUAAAAGUAAUAGGUUCUCAUCAAGGAGUGUAUCGCGGGGAUCAUACCAAUGAAAACGAACAAAAACAGGGAGAACAUCGUGCGCAAAUCCGAGAAAUAGU